GGUCAGGUUCGUAACUGUUCGAAAUAACGGCACCGCCGUUAUGAUGAUGUUUCACGACUGCGUUAUGAUAAAGAUAACAACUGAAGAGAUUCUUUAAAACGGCCUUUUUACGGCCUCCUAUCUUUCUGAUCCUCAAAACCCUGCCCUGUUUUCUCUGUCUCUCGAUCUGUCACAGGAUCCGAGACCCUUCUCCUUCUCACUUCUUAACAUUUCUCCAUACAACCUCUUUCGUUUUCCAUUCUGAUCGAUUUGACGGAAUUCUAGGCCGGGGUGCGCCGGUAGUUGCUUCCUCCGGCGAGAGAGUGUUCCGUUAUCGGACUCGAAGCUUCUCGGAAUAUCGCAAAAUAGAAAACAAGUAUGAUCAUUUUAGGGAUUUUGUUGUUCUGCAAAGGUUGGGGUUUAUUGGUCAUACAAUCAUGUAGUGAAGAAGCUGCAUUAGGUGGUGUUUAUGACUUUAUUGUGAGUAAUGUGGCUUUCGUUUUUUUGGCUGCGACUCACCAAAAUUUCUUUGCAAGGAGGAUAUGGAGUUUGUUUAGUAUAUUAAACAUACCUAAAGAAGCUUCUUUGCCGAGGCAUUCCAACAAAUAUGCAUCUGAUGUGUUUGCCUAAUUGCUUGGAACUUAUAGCGUUGCUUCAUUUACUUGUAAUCAGUUGAGUUAUCACGUCAUGGACCUAUGUGGGACCAAAGCGGGUGAGUUUGGGUUGCUUAAUCAAUUUAUGGCGCAAUUUUCUAUCAAUGACCAUGCGAUGCUGGAAAGAAGCUCAGAUUGGAUGUACAACCCAUAUCGGCGCUGAACCCAGGGAGGGAAGCAUGAGAACGUUGCUUCAGUGCCAACCACACUAUUUUGGAUUCGCAGCUCGAUUACGCCAUCAACUUUCAGGGACGCUCAGACACUGUUUCAUGGAAGAAAAUUGGAAUGAUGCUGUGGAAAGUUUUGGUACAGUCGAGUCUGCUGAAAUAAGUAUUGUUCAUAUAAUGUCAAUAUCUGCAAUUUUGUUUUUGUAUAAAUAAUAGCCUGCUUGCUUGCUUCUGAGACAGCGGAGGCUAAACACAUGAAUUAUCUGUUGGAAUGAUAGCCUUCUCUACAGACUUCAUGAGA